rnacentral:ncRNA from 1 species
AGUGCUAGGGGUGCCAUAGGCUGAGAAAUGAAUUUUCAUUAACCCUUUACCUGACCUAGAUAAUGCUAGCGUAGGGAAGCGAUUAAU